GCCCGGAUGGUGGAAUUGGUAGACACGCUACUUUGAGGGGGUAGUGGCCGCAAGGCCGUGCAAGUUCAACUCUUGUUUCGGGCA
rnacentral:tRNA from 1 species